rnacentral:rRNA from 1 species
UCCUACACGACUCUCGGCAACGGAUAUCUCGGCUCUCGCAUCGAUGAAGAACGUAGCGAAAUGCGAUACCUGGUGUGAAUUGCAGAAUCCCGCGAACCAUCGAGUUUUUGAACGCAAGUUGCGCCCGAGGCCUUCUGGCUGAGGGCACGCCUGCCUGGGCGUCACG